rnacentral:rRNA from 1 species
CCUACGGGUGGCAGCAGUAGGGAAUCUUCCACAAUGGACGCAAGUCUGAUGGAGCAACGCCGCGUGCGUGAAGAAGGGUUUCGGCUCGUAAAGCUCUGUUGGUAGUGAAGAAAGAUAGAGGUAGUAACUGUCCUUUAUUUGAUGGUAAUUACUUAGAAAGUCACGGCUAACUACGUGCCAGCAGCCGCGGUAAUACGUAGGUGGCAAGCGUUGUCCGGAUUUAUUUGGCGUAAAGCGUGUGCAGGCGGUUCGAUAAGUCUGAUGUGAAAGCCCUCGGCUCAACCGGCGAAUUGCAUCAGAUACUGUUGAACUAGAGAGUAGAAGCGGAGGGUGGAACGUAAGGUGUAGCGGUGGAAUGCGUAGAGAUCAGACAGAACACCAGUUGCGAAGGCAGCUCAC